CAAUAGUCGUAGCUGCACCAUCUAGGCUAAUCACGAUACUAGCAAGUUCAAUUUAGCGUGGAACUCGUAAACGUUCAAAAGAUAAAUUACUCUGAAGCAUUCUUUUACUAACAAAUUACAUUCUACUUUCAUAAUCAUACUUCAAUUCUUCAUCUUUUUGUAUUACACUGAAUUCCCUUGAUCCUACGAUUAAUAAAAAUCCCACUCGUCCUACAUUCAUUAGGCAUUCAGUAAUUCAAGGGCUCCAAUUUUUACUGUUUUCAUACUAUUCAAAUGGUUGUUUUUGUUACACAAGCUUGAUGCUACUACGCCCAGCACAAUGCCUACGGCUAUUGCAAGGCCUAGUGACUAAGAAUUUUGUUAUACAACAAUGGCUUCAUGCAUUCUAGCUUACCAUUCAAGCACUUGCCGCUAUAUAAGAUUCAUUCGGGAUUUGGUACCAUUGUAUAAGGCAUUACACUAUUUCAAACAAUGAUCCAUUGACAGUGCGCUGGAGUACAGACAUUCUGGAUUAGUAGGUAGGUAGGUAGGUAAAUGAAACCAGUUCAUAAUCGGUACAUUAUAUGAUAUUUGAAGAGCUACGUUCUCUUUUCGAUAAAUUGGGAAUGUAGGCCAUUGUUCAAACUUGUACUUGAGCAACAGGCUAUUAACAACAACAAUUGCAACCAUAAAAGGAUUCGGCGGUUCCUAUUUUCUACACCUGUUCCCUUCUCUUUCUUUACAUUUCAUGCAGCAAACUUUUUGGGAUUCGAUUUCACUUUGUUCCGUGAAUAAUGCGUACUUCAAGAUUGUUAAAUGAGAUAAACUUGGUUUAUCUACCUUUUUUUUAUCUCGUACAUGUCAUUCAUUAAUCCAAUAAUUUCCUAUCUAUUCUGUCAAGUUAAAUGUUUCUGAACGACUGCUUCCUGUUCCACAACAAUUUAAGUCAAAUAUGCAUGCUUGGCCUUGCAAAUGAAACAAAAUUAUGUAAAACCUUUAUCGACGAAGCAAAGCAUGGGCUUAAACAGGAAAUGCAGUUUCAUUGCGUUGCUUGCGCUUUGACAGUAUAUUGUUAAAAAAAUUAAAAAAUUAAAUAAAAAAUAAAGAAAUAGUUUUUAGACUUUAAAUACAACUUUGAAUCUUCAAUUUGCCUUUCCAACAAUAUUCGCGCCCCUUCGUUAUUUUUGUCUUACAAAUAAUGAGGGUAUGUUAUUAUUCAACUAUCAGUGUUAUGUGCUUAUUACUUAUACAGACACAGUUUUUAAAGUUAAAGAAAUUAUUAUUACAUUGUACUAAAUUUCCAUGAUAAACUUCACAUGCAAGUUUCUUUAUCCGUAUCUUUAUUUCCGGUUAUUUUGUUUACAAGGUCACACACAUUUGUAUACGAUCUUUGUUGUCAAAUGCCUGUAACAUUUUCUUUCCCUUUUUUCUGUUUUACUAAAACAAUUGCUUUUUUUGUUACAUUCAUUUACCCAUA